UGGUCAUUGAGUAACAUGAUACAGGA
rnacentral:piRNA from 1 species